GUUAGCAUCACAGGAACACAGGAAUGGCUGAACCUCCUAAAAGGCGAUAUGUAUUUGUAUCUCACAGAACCGCUCCCGACAAUAAACCACGUUCAACGGCGAAGAAAAGAAGCAACACGAGUAACUCUUGAUGUGGUUUUUCACCGCCGGAGACAGCUCCUGAGAGUAAAGAGAUGCGGUUUGAUGCCGAGCUCGCAACUUUCCUGUUAGCCCGGACCAGAAUUCCAGUCUAACCAUCACCAAUGAUGGACCUGCCUUUCCUUCUGCAUCUGGCCUCAUCAAUCAACAACCACAUUACAGUAACACCUUGAGGCUGGUGGACUCCAUUCUAGAGGCUGUGUUGACAGUAUCUCCAAACAAACAGUAUCUUGGCAUCUUGUGGCCCACUAUUCCCGCCACACAUGGACCUAGAGUGAGGAAACAGAGAGCUGUGCUUCACUUCAUGCCUCG